GCUUCCAUAGCUCAGUAGGUAGAGCACUUCCAUGGUAAGGAAGGGGUCGUCGGUUCGAAUCCGGCUGGAAGCU
rnacentral:tRNA from 1 species